UGCAGCCAUAGCUGCUCAGGGGCCUCUGCUGUGGUGAGGGACAGGAGUGAGGAUGGCUCAUUACCACGCCCUUCUCAGAAACCCCGUGAGCCCCAUCCCCCACCAUAACCACCCACUGAAUCUAGGGUUGCCCUAGCAACUACAACAGCACACAUUUCUGAAGUAUCAACCCAUGGAUCAAGUGAUCUUUCCCUGACCAACUAACUAGUGUUUCCCCUAGGAAACCUCUUAACCUUUAUUGCCUGGGCUCAAGCAUCCUCCUGCCUCAGCUUCCCAAAUACCUAAGACUUCAGGAAAAAAGAUCUGACUAUCAAAGUGACAAGUCACAGGAAGCACCUAGCUCCACGAGACGAAGAGGGGGUGCUUCCUGGGAGCCAAGUGUCCACAGCGAAUGUAGACGGAAGUCAACUCUGGAGGAACUCAACAAUCCCUAAGGAUCCAGGAUGGGCCUAGAACUUUUAUCAAACUCAACACAUCCUCCCCACAACCUUCAUCUCUAGGCAAGCACCCAGAUCAUCGAGGGUCCUGGCUCCAGCCUCUCCUCCUCCUGCCGGAGCUGGACCAUGGUGGCCAGCUCCCUGUCCAGGGCUUUGGCCUGCUCCUCUCGCCUCUGCUGCCUCCACUCCCAAGCCUCGCCACCAGGCCUACAGGCCAGGCCUUGGAGCUCAGCCUCCUGGCAUAUCCGCCUCCUGGCCUCUCUCUUUUCCCAGCGCCGGCGCCUCAUGGCCAGGGCAUUGCGCUGCCGCUCCAAGCUGCGCCUCAGCCCAUCCUCCCGCCGCCUCCUCUUCUUCAGCCUAUCCCGCUCCCGGGCCCGUGCCUCCUUCUCCUCCUGGGAUAGGAUAGGCUGACGAGGCAUGGCUGGUAGUUGUGCAUAGCCUCUUUACAAAGAAAGACCUCCAUGGCAACCCCAGAACACUGGCUGGGGUUUGGCUCACAGAAUCUUCCUGUUGGCAACCAGGGUUACAAGAAACCUUUUCAGGUAUAGCAUGUCCCCUGCAGAUCCCACCCAAAGCUACAGUAGCAGCCAGCUGCUUCCUGACCAUGAACUUGGGUUCAAGGAAAUGGACUAGCGAGAGAUCUGGGUCUCUAAGAGAGGGUCAUGGUCUCAUAACGGACAGAACCAGUAAUGAAUCAAGCAGCUGACUUGGAACUACACUCAUAGCUACCAGCUCCAAAUACACUGUCCCCAAUGG